CUGGAAACUUGAGAAACUGCACCUGUCUUGGUCCGAGGAUACUGUCCCAGGGAUCAUCCUAAGUAUCACCAAACAGGGUCUUCGCUAGAUCCCAUUAACCUUGUGACCCUCCCUAGGAGUUAGAUUCACAGUUAGAGUGAGAAUAAUAAUCCCCAAACCCCAGAAUUAUGCAAAUCAGGUAUAAGAAUAAAAAAAAAGUGUUCAGUCUAGGUGUAAAUAUGGGUGAUCACGGCUGAGGAAUACAGAUGUAAGUCACUUCAAAGUCCACUGUGAAAGAAAGUUUAUGCCAUUUUUAUAGUAACACGAUAAGAAAGUAAUAAAUUAAGACACUUUUGAAAGUGGGAAUAUGGAAGAGGUGGGUUACAACACAGAAAGGAAAUAUGUCAGAGGCCUCAUGUUAGGGGAACAUGUUAGACCUUAGCAUCUGUGUUAGCUGAAACUAGUGGCCUGCUAAGUUAAUACAUUCUAAAGGAGAACUAGUACUCUGCUUGUACAAUCCAAAUGAUUUAACUAGUUGCGACACAGCUGUUAUGUCAGGUACAGAGGAAGGCAAUAUAUAGCCUUUGAUGAAGCUAGAUACGUCCAGGAUAAUUUGGUUCUGGACCUGCAACAUGCCAAACUACAAUUCAUUAAUGCUAAGAAGAUAAAGAAGCAUUUAGAAAGGUUACGUUUGAAUGUUCAUCUUCUUUGUGGAAUCUUUUGUUCAUAAAACCAAGUGUCAUUUGGCACUGAGCACAAAUUCUAACCCACUCUUUCUACAAGGGCAACUUGCUGAGUUAGGGCCAACAGGGAACUAGAUAUCUUUUUUUCCGUGUCUUCCACUUUGAAGAAGUGGAAGAAGUUGGGAUAGGGAACGAAUUCAAACUGGGCUUAGAAGUCUACAGAUGGGCCAAAUAGAGACCCCUGAUGACAAACCGUGUCCUCUCUGUUUCCCCUGCCCCUUGAUUUCCAGAAAAGAAGACAACAGACACUGCUAAAGUACUUGUAUUUGUGCUCCUUGGAACCAAACUGCUGCUGGCAAUUGGUGUCUCUUCCAUCUACCUUCACAAGAAGCAGAAGGCCUAACUAAAACCCUGAAUAUCUGACAUCACCUUUCUUUGAGAGGCUCAACAUAGAAGGAGAAGAAGCUGGUGAGACACGCUGGAAGCUCCUGUCAGACUCAUCCUGGUAGGGUGACUGACACGUCUGAGGAAUUGGGGCGGAUAUCCCAGAGGAUGUUCUUCCAUUAGAAUCUGCCCGAUGCCACCGAUCUACUGGAGGCAAAGUAGGGACCUGGUACUCCAGAUAAGACCCCUCCCGCAGAUAUCCAGCACUUCCUCAGGGUUGCCCAGCUUACACAACAGCAUCUCCUGCUCUCAUCUCUAUAUCCUUGCCCACAACUCUGACAGAAGCCCACUGCUCUACUCAAGACCUCACUUGUACCCAGAAUCCCAGGUAAGUCCCACUCACAGCCUGCCAACAGUCUUUAGAGACCACCCAGCUCCCAAAUAGCAACCCUUUCCCCUCGUCUCCAUAUCCCUCCCCACUCCAGCACAAGUGCCCUGCUCUUCUGGAGCCACACUGUUAACCGGAACCCCAGGUAAGACCCUACCUGCAGACACCCAGUGCUUUCUUAGAGCCCGCCCAGAUUCCCCAACAAUACCCCCUUACCUUGUCUCCAGACUCAGGCUCAUUACUCUGACAAAAGCCCCUUCCUCUUCCAGAGGCCACACCAAUUCCUUGAACCCCAGAAUCCUUCUUUUCUACCAGAGGCAUGUCUGGUGUUUGGAACCCCAGAUAUCAUGUCGAUAUCUGAAACCCCAGAGUUCAAGCUGGUACCCAGAACCGUAGGAACUCACUGAUCUACCAGAGGCCACACUAGUACCUGGAGCCACUGGUGCCAUGCCAGCUCCCAGAUCCUCAGAACCUUCUUAAAAUACCAGGAAAUAAAUGCCAGAAAGAACAUUA